rnacentral:lncRNA from 1 species
GGAAGGCUCAAGGCCCAGGUCCACUGCAGGUUGUCACGUUUGGAGAGCAGGGCCCGGGCUGAGGGAGGCCAAAGGGCCCAGGCAAGGGAGAGGGCUAUGUUUUCCCCUAGGGAGCCAGGAGGGCCAAGGGGGCCAGGUCCAGUCCCCUGGCCUGAUGUGCAUUCUGGGAAAGGGAUCAGGAAAGGGGGCCUGGCAGGGACAGGGACAAAAGGAGGGCCAAGGGAGGGCAUAGAGUGAAGGGUCAGAGGAUGGGUGCUGGUGGGGUGGGGGCCAGGACCCCAGCAAGGAGCCCACACUAGGGACCUAGAGGAGGGUCCACACCAGAGGAGAC